rnacentral:rRNA from 1 species
AGAGACAGCAGCCGCCGCGGUAAUACGUAGGGUGCAAGCGUUAAUCGGAAUUACUGGGCGUAAAGCGUGCGUAGGCGGUGAGUUAAGUCUGCUGUGAAAUCCCCGGGCUCAACCUGGGAAUGGCAGUGGAUACUGGCUCGCUAGAGUGUGUCAGAGGAUGGUGGAAUUCCCGGUGUAGCGGUGAAAUGCGUAGAGAUCGGGAGGAACAUCAGUGGCGAAGGCGGCCAUCUGGGACAACACUGACGCUGAGGCACGAAAGCGUGGGGAGCAAACAGGAUUAGAUACCCGUGUGUCCCUGUCUCUUAUACA